rnacentral:rRNA from 1 species
GGGUUGUGAGGUUAAGCGACUAAGCGUACACGGUGGAUGCCCUGGCAGUCAGAGGCGAUGAAGGACGUGCUAAUCUGCGAUAAGCGCCGGUAAGGUGAUAUGAACCGUUAUAACCGGCGAUUUCCGAAUGGGGAAACCCAGUGUGAUUCGUCACACUAUCAUUAACUGAAUCCAUAGGUUAAUGAGGCGAACCGGGGGAACUGAAACAUCUAAGUACCCCGAGGAAAAGAAAUCAACCGAGAUUCCCCCAGUAGCGGCGAGCGAACGGGGAGGAGCCCAGAGCCUGAAUCAGCAUAUGUGUUAGUGGAAGCGUCUGGAAAGGCGCGCGAUACAGGGUGACAGCCCCGUACACAAAAGCGCAUGUGCUGUGAGCUCGAUGAGUAGGGCGGGACACGUGGUAUCCUGUCUGAAUA